GCGCCUUGCAUAUGUAGAACAGAUCAACACAUUUUCGACAUGAAUUUACGCAGAAAGUAUUCUAGAUUUCGGAAAAGUAUGGAUCCCCGGGUUAUUUUUAGAAAUAACAAUUAUUUUUUACAAAAAACAUAGAAAAAUGUGGUUCUUAUAAAAAAAUUCCCUACCUUCUUAUACACUUUUACACGAGAUACUUACAAAUUUGCAUUCCUGGUGCAUUCCUGCACUUGUGGGUGAUUUCUCGUCGUCUUUUUACCUUUCUAUAAAUAGCACGAGGAACGGAAAGGGUAUGUAUUUGUCUGUCUCGAUAGCUGAAAU
rnacentral:lncRNA from 1 species